rnacentral:rRNA from 1 species
GACGAACGCUGGCGGCGUGCCUAAUACAUGCAAGUAGAACGCUGAAGCUUGGUGCUUGCACCGAGCGGAUGAGUUGCGAACGGGUGAGUAACGCGUAGGUAACCUGCCUGGUAGCGGGGGAUAACUAUUGGAAACGAUAGCUAAUACCGCAUAAGAGUAGAUGUUGCAUGACAUUUGCUUAAAAGGUGCAAUUGCAUCACUACCAGAUGGACCUGCGUUGUAUUAGCUAGUUGGUGAGGUAACGGCUCACCAAGGCAACGAUACAUAGCCGACCUGAGAGGGUGAACGGACAAAAGGGGACGGGACAAAGGCCAAGAACCCGAGGGGAGGAAGAAGGAGGGAAUGUGCGGAAAGGGAAGGAAGUUUGACCGAGAAAGGCGGGGGGAGUGAAAAAGGUUUUGGGAUGGAAAAGCUCUGUGUGAAGAGAAGAAGGGGGGGGAGAGGGGAAAGUCCACACGGGGACGGUAUUUUACCAAAAAGGGACGGAAAAAUACGG